rnacentral:rRNA from 1 species
UACGUAGGUGACCAGCGUUGUCCGGAUUUACUGGGCGUAAAGAGCGCGCAGGCGGUCGUUUCAAGUCGAGUGUGAAAGCCCCCGGCUCAACUGGGGAGGGUCAUUCGAUACUGAUCGACUCGAAGGCAGGAGAGGAAAGCGGAAUUCCCGGUGUAGUGGUGAAAUGCGUAGAUAUCGGGAGGAACACCAGUGGCGAAGGCGGCUUCCUGGCCUGUUCUUGACGCUGAGGCGCGAAAAGCUAGGGGGAGCAAACGGGG